UAGUUAGCAGGUGCUUAUUCCUGAGGUACCUUCAAAAAUUUAUUCCCUCAGAAAAGAAGUUUACAAUCGAAAGACCGUCAUCCUUCACGCGGCGUCGCUCCGUCAGGCUUUCGCCCAUUGCGGAGGAUUCCUC
rnacentral:rRNA from 1 species